GAUGAACGCUGGCGGCGUGCUUAACACAUGCAAGUCGAACGGUGAAGGCGGAGCUUGCUCUGCUGGAUCAGUGGCGAACGGGUGAGUAACACGUGAGCAAUCUGCCCCUGACUCUGGGAUAAGCGCUGGAAACGGCGUCUAAUACUGGAUACGAGCUGCGAAGGCAUCUUCAGCAGCUGGAAAGAACUUCGGUCAGGGAUGAGCUCGCGGCCUAUCAGCUUGUUGGUGAGGUAACGGCUCACCAAGGCGUCGACGGGUAGCUGGCCUGAGAGGGUGACCGGCCACACUGGGACUGAGACACGGCCCAGACUCCUACGGGAGGCAGCAGUGGGGAAUAUUGCACAAUGGGCGAAAGCCUGAUGCAGCAACGCCGCGUGAGGGACGACGGCCUUCGGGUUGUAAACCUCUUUUAGCAGGGAAGAAGCGAAAGUGACGGUACCUGCAGAAAAAGCGCCGGCUAACUACGUG
rnacentral:rRNA from 1 species